rnacentral:rRNA from 1 species
UAUCAAUAAGCGGAGGAAAAGAAACCAACAGGGAUUGCCCCAGUAACGGCGAGUGAAGCGGCAACAGCUCAAAUUUGAAAUCUGGCCCCUAGGGCCCGAGUUGUAAUUUGCAGAGGAUGCUUUUGGCGAGGUGCCUUCCGAGUUCCCUGGAACGGGACGCCAUAGAGGGUGAGAGCCCCGUCUGGUUGGAUACCGAGCCUCUGUAAAGCUCCUUCGACGAGUCGAGUAGUUUGGGAAUGCUGCUCUAAAUGGGAGGUAUAUGUCUUCUAAAGCUAAAUACCGGCCAGAGACCGAUAGCGCACAAGUAGAGUGAUCGAAAGAUGAAAAGCACUUUGAAAAGAGGGUUAAAUAGUACGUGAAAUUGUUGAAAGGGAAGCGCUUAUGACCAGACUUGGACCCGGUGAAUCAUCCAGCGUUCUCGCUGGUGCACUUUGCCGGGCUCAGGCCAGCAUCAGUUUGUCUCGGGGGAUAAAGGCUUAGGGAAUGUGGCUCCUCCGGGAGUGUUAUAGCCCUUUGCACAAUACCCUGGGGCGGACUGAGGUUCGCGCAUCUGCAAGGAUGCUGGCGUAAUGGUCAUCAGCGACCCGUCUUGAAACACGGACCAAGGAGUCGUCUUCGUAUGCGAGUGUUCGGGUGUAAAACCCCUACGCGUAAUGAAAGUGAACGCAGGUGAGAGCUUCGGCGCAUCAUCGACCGAUCCUGAUGUUCUCGGAUGGAUUUGAGUAAGAGCAUACGGGGCCGGACCCGAAAGAAGGUGAACUAUGCCUGUAUAGGGUGAAGCCAGAGGAAACUCUGGUGGAGGCUCGCAGCGGUUCUGACGUGCAAAUCGAUCGUCAAAUAUGGGCAUGGGGGCGAAAGACUAAU